GGAGAUCCACAGGACGUUUUCCUCUGCAUCCUAUGUGAACCAGUGUUUCCUUGACCAAAGCAAAGAUCAACAUUUCCAGACCUCACCAAAGUACUCCGGCUUGAACUUGUCACUUGCACAACUUGCUUUUGAGAAACUGGUGAAGAAGCAGGAUAUUUUUGCAGAGGUUGAGGCUGCUGUUUUGCAGUUGCUUCCUUCUCUUGAUGAGGAACCAGUGGGAGUGGAGGGGUUGAGGAUCUUCCUGCUGCUCAAUGAGCUUCUGCAUGUGAUCCAGAGACACAACAGGGGGAAGACUGAGCUUGCAGAGACGGUUGCUGCUGCCAUACAGAGACUCUCUGCUGAAAGCCUCCAGGUCCUAGGUACUGUGAGAAAUAACUGUAUGAAAGUUUGAGAGGCCUCGUUUAUCAUUAAUCACAGGCUCAUGUUAAUGGUGUGCUUACCAGACCUACAGUAAAAAAGAAGUGUCGACCAGCUUAUAAUAAUGUUGUCACUUUCUGAACUGGUCAUUGGCAAAAUGAAGAACAUUUAAUGGAUGUACUUUGACGAUGCACAAUUACCCAUAAGGAUCAUGUUGUAGCCUGUUAAGAAAUAUAUUGUAAAAUAAUGUCCAGGUUGAGAAAUACCAAAGUUACCCUUGUCUGCAACUCUCCAUGCUGUCUCCUUCAGUGGACUGGUGGUCUUCACUGUCACCCUCCACUAUGGUUAAACAUGUGAAGGUGUGGAAGCAGGCUCUCUCCGUGAUCCUGUCCUCUCAACCUGUACCUCGCAACUCUGGAGUCAGAAACCUGCUGCAAGUCCUCCAGGAUAUGUACAAUGCCAACAACGGGAUUGCAGGAUGUCAGAGAAUCCCACAAGAAACUUUUUGUUUGGAAUUUAACGAAACAUUUCUUGAAGAGGAUCUGAGGCUUUGGCGUUCAAUGACAAAUGUGCCACUUGUCGUUUGUAACUUCCCAUUUGUGAUGGACCUGAAAUCAAAGAAAACGGCUUUUGACAUCAAUGCUUCACGCACUCAGGUAACUGGGACUUGGCCUCUUGGGAGACAAGUCAGAGUCAUUAGGAAAUUUCCAGUCAAUCAACUUUUAUCAGUGUAUCCUCAAUGUUUUAAUGUGAAAUACUGGGUGUCUUAUCAUGUUAACAAAACAGUUAUAUAUACAUAUAUUAGCAAUUAA
rnacentral:lncRNA from 15 species